rnacentral:rRNA from 1 species
CGUGUAGGCGGCUCGGUAAGUCCGCUGUGAAAGUCCAGGGCUCAACCCUGGAAAGCCGGUGGAAACUGUCGGGCUAGAGUCCGGAGGAGGCGAGUGGAAUUCCUGGUGUAGCGGUGAAAUGCGCAGAUAUCAGGAGGAACACCAAUAGCGAAGGCAGCUCGCUGGGACGGUACUGACGCUGAGACGCGAAAGCGUGGGGAGCAAACAGGAUUAGAUACCCUGGUAGUCCACGCCGUAAACGAUGGGCACUAGGUGUGGGGGGUGUCGACUCCCUCCGUGCCGACGCUAACGCAUUAAGUGCCCCGCCUGGGGAGUACGGCCGCAAGGCUAAA